rnacentral:misc_RNA from 1 species
AAGUCGUAACAAGGUAUCCGUAGGUGAACCUGCGGAUGGAUCAUUAUCACGUAUCCACGUAUCAACCAUUGUGAACUGUCUUUAUUUUUUUUUGUUUGUUUGUUUUUGGUUUGAUGUUUCGGCAUUAUUCCGAGAAUAAAUAAAACAACAAAAAAAUUUUUAAUUAACAAUUUAAACCUUUAAUUUUAUAACUUUUGAACUGACUUAUUUUAUACUCUUCGGAGAUAAAAUUCAUUACGAAACAAAGAACAACUCUUAGCAACGGAUAUCUUGGUUCUC